rnacentral:lncRNA from 1 species
UGUUGAUACGACUCACUAGCUCCUUGCCACAUGAGAGAAUUCCGGAAUUUGUUACACGGAAAUGGCAGCGUGCGACUAUAAAAAAUUCAAAUAAGAUGACCAUGAGCUCGUUAAUAAUUGUUACUGUGCUAAUUAUCUCCAAUCUUUGAUACUGUAUUUACAUAAGGUUCUAAGAUUGAUGGGAUGAGCUAAUCAAUGGCGAGCCCAGAUGGCCCUGAGCAGCUUGAGCAGUGCCAUGGCGUUGGCCUUGGCCCUGGGGCUGCACUGGCUCUGCAGCAACAGAAGCAGCCGCGUGAGCAGGCCGGCAUUGAUGGCGUCCACCCGCGCCUCCGCAGACUCGCGGCAUGCCACCAGC